UACUAAAAUUUUGGAGUAUUAAAUGUUGUCCAUUUCAGAAGUAAAAUAGCCUUUUGGUUUCUAUCAGUGUGUAAGAAUAGAAAUAUCAAGAGCCACUAAUCUAGUCCAUCCCACUAAUGUUUUAUAUCCAAAGAUGAGCUAGUGUAGAGUACUGGACAAAGGUUAAGAGAUUUAGCUUUCGGUCCCCAGCUCUGUAACUAACUCUCUGGCCUUAGACAAGUCUCUUAACUUAUCCAGGGUUGUUUCCUUGUCUGUAAAAUGAAAGGGGUUGGACUAGAUAAUCUGUAAGGUCCCUUUCCCAUCUUUAUUUUCCCUGGUGUUAGUGUUUGAUCUAAAAUAAUUUAAUGUAUCUUUUGCCAGUUCUCCCUACCUGUUGUUGCUAUUGUUUCUAUCAUCUUAUUGGUGGAAACAACUUAAAUUUGGUUAUGAUAAUUUGUAUAAUGUGUCUUGGUACAAUUUUGUAUAUAGUGUUCCUGAAUGUUUGCCUUUGCUACACAAAUUCCAUUUAACCUAUAAAAUAUAAAUUAACUUGUGUACUCAUUAGCACUUUCCCUUAGUACUCAUAACUUUUCUUUCACUUCUAGACUCAAAGUGUAAAACUCUUAUUACAGUAUGCUACCUAAAACUUGAAACACAUUUUUUCAAAUUCUGCAGUUCUCCUAGCAAGUUCUUUACUUUAGUGCAGAUCUGGGCUGCAGUGGGAUUAAAAAAAAAAAGGAAUUAAGAUGUAGAUAGCUACUUUUUACAGGAAAAAUUGAAAGGCAAUCAUUAUUAUUGGUUAGAAGAUUGAUUAGGAUUACCUCAAGGGAUGAUUGUCAUUUUACAUAUUUCACUCAAUAUUUUAUGUCUCUACUUAAGCAGUGUUGUUUUAAAUGUUAUUGGAUAAUUGUAACAUUUAAAAAUUAAUUUUAGUAUUUAACCAGUACCCAAGCAUUUAAUGAAAUCAUUUUGCAUGAAUGGGAGAAUAUUUCAUAGCUUGUGUUUUAUUUUGUUAUAUGAUUGAAUGUAUCAAACAGUAGUUUACUAUGAGGAUAAGACUUCACUGUUUUAGCUGAUUACCUGCAGAAAGUAUGGCUGAGCUUAAUUGAAGGAAAUUUCUUGUUAUUAGGACUUUUAUUGGGACUAUUUCCAAUCUUAUUUGGAACACUAAUCAUUGGCUGUAAGGGUUACAAAAAGAAAGCAAACAGUUGCUUGUUUGAGAGAGAUCAUCAUUGCCUGAAUUUAGCUUUGUGACUACAGCAGCAAGACCUGUUCCUGUCCGGAGACGACUGUUAAAAUAAUAUCAUCCUAUCAUUUUAUGUUUGCCCUUUAUCAGUUUGAGUAGAUGUUUACAUGUACUAUAAUUAGCAUUUUAUCUUUACAGUUCUUCUAGGGUACAUCUGAGUCCAGAAGUAAAUCUGAGUGUGUGCUUUGUCUGACAUUAUUCUUGAAUAUUUUCUCCCUUUUAUAGCCAUUUAUUUUUAAACACCUUAAGAAGGAAAAAAAAAAAACCCCAAACUUCUUGGUUUCCUAACAUGAGAUAAGUUUUCAGUCUCAGCCAAGUUGACAUUGUGUCUAGGAAAUAUAUAAAGCCAUGAUACUGUGUUCAUUAGCAUGAACAAUUUAAAAUGAUGAAAAAUGAUUAAAAAGUUAAACCUGG